UUGGCUGCUGAAACAAAUUUGCAGCACGUUAAUUUUGGUUUCAACUCAGUUUUUCGGUCCCAAAUUCGGUGAUGUUUCUCUCAGGAACAUGUUUCCUUGCGGUGCGAUUCGUAGCAGCCAAGAAAUCUUCAGCACAAUGUACCAGUUGCGAUAUUCUGCAGCUUUCGGGGCACUUGACCCGGGUGAUGCGCUGUGUUUCGAUACGAUGCCCAGGUGUUUCUAUUGCAACUUUCAGCUCCAUAGAUUUGCAGUGGCACAUUCGAUAAGCACUGCAAACAUUCAGCUUGGUGACAUCAGCUGAGAUAUUGUUCAGAUGUUGCCGUCCAACGAUGCUACUUUGGCCCAAAGAUCUCGAAUGUACUUGGAUGAUCCGUCCAAAUUACCAUGUGUGCUGAUUCCGUGAUGUUUAGUCUCAUGGCAAAGAAACAUAAAAAUAAACCGC